rnacentral:rRNA from 1 species
GAUGAACGCUAGCUACAGGCUUAACACAUGCAAGUCGAGGGGCAGCGGGAUUGAAGCUUGCUUCAAUUGCCGGCGACCGGCGCACGGGUGAGUAACGCGUAUCCAACCUUCCGUACACUCAGGGAUAGCCUUUCGAAAGAAAGAUUAAUACCUGAUGGUAUGAUGAGAUUGCAUGAUAUCAUCAUUAAAGAUUUAUCGGUGUACGAUGGGGAUGCGUUCCAUUAGGUAGUAGGCGGGGUAACGGCCCACCUAGCCAACGAUGGAUAGGGGUUCUGAGAGGAAGGUCCCCCACAUUGGAACUGAGACACGGUCCAAACGCCUACGGGAGGCAGCAGUGAGGAAUAUUGGUCAAUGGACGAGAGUCUGAACCAGCCAAGUAGCGUGAAGGAUGAAGGUCCUACGGAUUGUAAACUUCUUUUAUAAGGGAAUAAACCCUCCCACGUGUGGGAGCUUGUAUGUACCUUAUGAAUAAGCAUCGGCUAACUCCGUG